UACGGGGGGGGCAAGCGUUGUUCGGAAUUACUGGGCGUAAAGGGCUCGUAGGCGGCCAACUAAGUCAGACGUGAAAUCCCUCGGCUUAACCGGGGAACUGCAUCUGAUACUGGAUGGCUUGAGUUCGGGAGGAGGGAGUGCGGAAUUCCAGGUGUAGCGGUAGAAAUGCGUAGAUAUCUGGAGGAACACCGGUGGCGAAGGCGGCAUCCUGGACCGACACUGACGCUGAGGAGCGAAAGCCAGGGGAGCAAACGGG
rnacentral:rRNA from 1 species